GCCAUAUACUUGUUGAUCAUCGAGCGUCUGUAGGCAAGGAGUUAUUAUCUCUGAAGGUACGUGCAGUUAUAUAGUUUGAAUACUGUACAGUUUAAAGAUUGAUUUUUAACUGAUACUGUUCCCGUUUAGCUAUCUCUUAGUCUUCCCGUUCUCACGGUACGUAUGAUUAAAGCAAAGGCACUUAAGUGGCUGAAUAGAUGCCGAAUAAACAUAUGCAUUUAAUACUGGCGGGUGGUCAAGACAUGUCCAAAGGCUGAAUUACGUUAAAUGAAUGUUAGUUUAGGGAGAAUUUGGUGAAGUUUUCUACUUUAGAAGGAUAUAAAGCAAUAUUUAGUGAUACCAAAGGCAAACGUACUUUAACUUGAGCAUGUUUGCACAUGCUGUUGCGCAAUAUAACUUACGACAGACAUCGUAGUUUAGCAAGCAAGCUAGCAAUUAAUGCAUAACAGCGGGUUUAAAUAUUAGGUGGGGCUUUAAAGUAAACUAGAUGUUUUAAAACAUACGAAAAUGCGAGCAUAAAAGAUUAUAAUAGUACAAUUUACAGUUUACCCUUUGGUACUUAAGUAUUUAGCUGUAUAAUAUUGUAUUUCAACUGGCAUUUGAUUUGUCGGAAGAUUCGAAUACGAAAUCGUGAGACCGUAAGUUAAAGAUUGUAUUUACGAGCUCAGAAUAAUCUGUGGUGAAAUUUAGGUUGAUUCCAACCGGGGAGAUUUCGCAACUCCGCCGAAAGAGAUUUAAUACCGAGCCUAUACGUAUUACGUAAGAUUAUUUAGCAUGUAGAUUGUAGGAAUGAUGUAGAAGCCGAAGGUAAAGCUGCCAACAAAGGCAGAAAAGCGAUAAUAUAUAUCAACAAUAUUCCAAUGAAAAUAUAUCAAACAAACUAUAUAUAUAGCUUUAUUUUAACUAUGGCUAAUAUCAAAAAAAGUUGGACUGAAAAAAUUUUGAACCUUGCACUAAAAGAACGUACCAGACACGCAGCCUCUUAACGAAUUCCGAUUAAAACUUGCAAGAGCGUGCAUGUUGUACUUUGAUCUAUUUAAUGCUUCGCUGAAUGUCUCCAUAUUAUCUGAUAAUAUAUUCAUCCCCCUAAUAUUGCGUAGGAAGAGUUUAGCAAAACAGUAAACAUACGAGCGAAUUGUAAAGAAAGCCACAAAUAGCCGCUGUUUAUAAUAUAAAAGUCGAUGUGGAAAUAUGAAACCGCGAACGACUCAUAUUACUAUGUAUACAGUCAAGUUGCAAAAGUUGCCGCUUGUUAAUAACUCCUUAAUUAAAGAACUAGCUUUUAACCCUGGCUGAUUUUGAUCAUGGCCUGCAAACAAAUUAACGUUUAUACUUUAUAGUAAUAUGACUAAUGAGUAGUUGUUUGCGGUUAAAUUGUACAAGAACCUAGGUGUCAUCACUCAUCAGAUUUAAUAUAAUAUUCCAAUAUAGAAUAUAGGGAAUAGGGAAUAUAUAAAUUUCAAGAAGGCUGUAAAUGAAUCGGCCUGCGUUGCAGGCGGUAAUAUUUAGAAUUCCCAGUUCAGCCUAGCCUUCUCCGCAAUUCGAGGGAAAACCCCACCGAUAAUUUUUUCGUGAUUAGUUUUUAAAAUUUUUUUAUUUUUUCUAUUUCCCUCAGUACAUGUAAUUUUCGUUUAUUACUUCACGCAUUCUGGUACCCAGAGCCCUUCUUACGCGCGGUGCGACGAGGGGCUCUGGCCAAAUCCAAACUUUUGAGUUCGCCCCUCUCGGUACGUCCGGGGUUUACUUUUGAAUACUAAGCUUGAAUAUGUGAGAAGUGAGUUAUAAUGAGCCAUUAAAACGAUGAAUAAUAUCACGACAGUCGGCAGUAUGUGUUUUAAUCGUCGCUCUAUAUAACUAAUGUUGAAUAUUAUAAUGGACUAUUAUUUGCAAUUUACUAUCUUCAAAUAGAAUAAAAUCUAAAAAUUAAAAACCUAGAAACCUAAAAAUAUAAAACCUAAAAAUCAAGAACCUUAAAAUCAAGAACCUGAAAAUCAAAAACCUGAAAAUCAAGAACCUGAAAAUCACGAAACUGAAAAUCACGAACCGAAAAAUCACAAACCGAAAAAUGUAAAAGUGAAAACGUACUUAGGUGUCGCGUCUGGGCUUCCGUAACUUUGUCACAACGUUUAUACAGCUCGAACGGACAAACCGAGGCCACUUUUGCAUAUUUUUUAUGUUUUCAAACUAUUUAACAGUUAUUCUACGGAACUCGAGUCGAAUAUGAGCUGAUAGCCGAUGAGGCGCGUAUAGCGCCGAAUCGGCUAUCGCUCAUAUUCGACGAGAGUGAGCCAAGAACAACACAUAGCGCCUGGGUACGAGGCUGCUAAUAUCCUGCUAGUAGAGAACCAAUCAGAUUGCAGAAUACCUCAUAUCCAGACCUUGUGUAUAUAAUAAACCCAAUUAUUAUACAUUGUAGUUGGUAAAAGCAAUUUGAUUGGCUAAGAGCUUAAAAUAGGCAAAAAGCUCAAAUAGGCAAACCGAAGCCGUUUUUGCGAAUUUUUAAUGUUUUCAAACUAAUUUCCCCUGCCAUCAUGCAUGGCUCCUAAAAUUAAAACAAUGGAAAAGAUGAAAAAUAUAGAUUUUAAUUUUGAAAAUCAAGUAAUUUUAAUUUUAAUAUUAAUUUUGAAAUCUAAUUUUAAUUUUGAAAAUAAUUUUGAUUUUCAAAAUUAAAAUCUAUAUUUUUUUAUCUUUUCCAUUGUUUUAAUUUUAGGAGCCCAUGCAUGAUGGCAGGAGGAAAUUAGUUUGAAAACAUUAAAAAUACGCAAAAACGGCUUCGGUUUGCCUAUUUGAGCUGUAAGAUAAUAUUACGAACAACAAUAGUUAACGAAUAGCGAUAUCGAAGUCUCACCGGUUUGCCGGUAAUAAAUUUGGUAAAAAAAACUGACGCUGAACCAAGUUUGCGUGCAUAUACAAUGCAGUACGCUACGCUAACGCUGCGUGCAUUUUGAUGCCCUUCAGUUGCGUACAUAUAUACUAAAUGGAGGACCCCCAUAUCGAUUCUUUAGACAUGGUCAUCAUAGGACGGUGGGAGACUCCUUUAGGAGUGGGAAGGAUAUAAAUAAUGAAAUGUUCAGAUGAUUCCUAGUUUCUUUCUAGCCAAACGGUGUGCUUUCAGAAAGUCUAUGAACGUUACUUCACAUAAAAACUGCAUGGCGUUUAAAACACACUAAAUCUUUACAUCUAGCGACGACUACAUACGUAAUGUUUUUCGUCUGAUCAUCCUUGCUAUAUAUGUAAGGUUCAGCACAAUUCUUAUCGUCUUUAAAACACGGAUAAGCAAGCACUUGCAAAGUUAUAAAACCAACGUUCAAACCUUUUGUCUUCACGAAUAUCAAUGAAUAAGCAAUGCAUCUCAAUAACAAAUAAAAAGAGUACCAGUUAGGCCCCCGCCCGCUGUUGCGGAUUACUUGUCUUUAAACAACGUUUAAUUAUUGUUAAAAAUCUUCAUAUUGACAUUUAGGAACAUUGCCAAGAUGAUACUAGAACUAAUAAUAUGGACACUCGUUAUUGCAUCGACCAUUUUCUUGUUGUUAUGGAGACUGAUCACGCCACCAAAAGUUAAGAUAGUAAGAAAAGCUCCUGAAAACGAAGACUUGUACGCUAAGAGUCGUUUUAUUCCUUCGAAAGUCCCAAACAAUGUUGAUGUAAUUAUCAUUGGUUCCGGUAUGGGUGGGGGAACGGCCGCAUCAAUCCUGAGUAAAUAUGGCAAGAAAGUUGUUGUGUUGGAACAUCAUGAUAAGUUAGGAGGAUGUACGCACACAUUCUCUUGGUCCCGACAGAACAUGUAUGAGGAAGGACACACUACUUGUGAAUUCGAUACAGGUU
rnacentral:lncRNA from 1 species